ensembl:lncRNA
UUUUUUUAUUUUAUUUUAUUUUUUUUUUUUGAGAUGGAGUCUCGUUCUAUCACCCAGGCUGGAGUGCAGUGGCAUAACCUUGGCUCACUGCAACCUCCACCUCCUGGGUUCAAGCGAUUCUCCUGCCUCAGCCUCCCUAGUAGCUGAGAUUACAGGCAUGCACCAUCACACUAAUUUUUGUAUUUUUAGUAGAGACGGAAUUUCACCAUGUUGGCCAAGCAGAGGCUGGUCUCGAACUCCUGACCUCAAGUGAUCCAACCACCUCAGCCUUCCUAAGUGCUGGGAUUACACUGUGCCCAGCCUAAGAAGUGACUAUUUUCAAGCUAAGUAAAUUAAAUAUAUCUCUAAAUAGCUCAUAAAUAAUAAUGUUAAGUGUAAAUACUUAACUCUAAUGUAUAUAUGUUUUAUUGUUUAUAUAUAUAUAUAGAGAGAGUAUUUAAUUCUAAAAGAAAUUUAAAGCAAUUUCAAAGAUGUCAAAGUAAAAUAAACAAGAUGAAGCAAAAGGCAAAUAGAGUAUAAAAGCAAGCUAAAACCAAGAAUGAAGUUUGUACUCAAUAUGCAUUCCAUGAAGUCCACUUGCUAAUAGUGGAUGAUAACCUAGGUACUUCAGUUUCAAAGUCCCCAAAGUGAACAAUAUAGGUUAUUCCAAUACAAAAUAAAAUACUGAAUAGCAAAAGAGAAUCCUACAUUGUAUCUGAAGUAUGUCUGUAAACAUUAGAACCUAGCAAGCCGAGCAUAAUAUGUAUACAUAUACACAGAUAUGCAUAUACAGAGAGAUGCAAAAUUCCUAAAGCUUGCAUUUGUCCUGAGUUUACUACUUUAUUGAUUCUGAUAUACUCAAGCCAGAAUGAUUUCAUAUUGUCCUAAUACAGACUUAUUUUCAAUAUGUGCUAAUGCUGUAGUUUGAGUAGGUUAAAAUGAUUUGUUCUAAAUAGUCAUUUUUACAUGAUAGGGUCAAGCAAAGUUAAAAUUAGAGGUUGGAUGCACCAGAAAUAACAGAGAGGGAAGGCCAGGCUUGGAUCCAAAGAAGCAGAGUCCUGGAAGCCCAAGGCUUAUUGAUUGAUGGAUGGAGAAUACAAGGAAGCAAUGGGUACAAAAAAAAAUGGCAGUUGCGUAACGUUACUGUUAAGAGAGAGAACAGAGAAUCGGGAGCACAAGGUAAAGAACAAAGGAAAUGUAAAGAAAUAAAGAUAAGAAUAGAAAAAUUUUAACAUAGCAUAUGAGUGAACUACUUCUUAGAAGCUUAGUAGGACUUGCUCCAGUUUUUUUCUUGAUAACCCACUGUGAUCACUCACAGAUUCAAAAUUAAUUCACUCGCCUUUCUGCAAAUAGCCUAAAAUGUAUUCGUUAUUUUUUUACAACAGAGUUAUCAUAAUCAACAACAUCCAAAGGAACAAGACCUUAAAAUCAGGCACAGGAUAUAAUCCUGACUAUCUGGUUUCAGCACAGCAUGUAAUGAGGUAGAUUCCAAGCAGCAGGUGCUUGGGAAAGAGUCAUUGGCGAUUCUAAGUUAAGACCUUGGUAGGAUUCUUGUGAUCUUCCUCAAUCCAAGUAGCUUCAAGUGCCCUCCCCUAAACUUCUUUUCUAAUCAGAUUGCCACACUUAACCUUUUCGUGGGGGCCAUCACAGCUUGGUCAAAUAGACUCGGGCUUGACUCCCCAAUUCACCUAUUGACAAAGAAUAUUUAUUUAGUUUUUCCCAGUUCCAACACUCACUACUAUUUGGGGGAUUAUACUAUUUAUCUCAACAAGCUGCUAUGGAAGCCAAAUGAGAUACUGUUGCAAAGUACCUAGUUAUAUCCCUGACCAUCAUGAAAUGGUGGAUAUUAUAGGCAUAGGAGAGAAGUUCAAAAGCAUUGGUAUUACAGAGGGGUAUGGUCUUCCAGUGUGUGGGAACCCAAACAAUCAGCAUCUCACCCUCACCAUAUGCACAAUGAGGUUGGAUUAGAUGUGACAGAUCAUCUCUAAGGUAUGCUUCCCCUCUAUAAAAUUCUGUGGCUGUACAAAUAUUGUAAAUUAGAAAUUUUCCAAUUAAUUUCCCUUGGGGCUUACUAGUCUUACACUGAACUCCCUUCCUGUGCCUUCUAAUUUUCAUCAUUAAUAUUUCAAAUGAUCGUGAAGAACAGGUUAAGAUGAUACCAACCCUAAAAAAUAGUAUUUUGUAUUGUGGAUGACCAAAACCUUUUGAAACAAGGCAGACCUUACAUUAAAUCCUGACUCUGCCAUAUUGGUUAUAUGACCUUGAAAAAGUGUUUUCAGCUCCCUGAGCCUUUGUUUCUAUUUUACAAAAUGAGGCUAAUGAGUAAUACCUACCUUAAAGUAUUAGUUUCUGAGAACUUGAAUUCUCCUGGCUUCCAGUAGGCAUUCAAUUUAUAUUAUUUUGUGCCCUGAAAGAAUCAUUAAAAUUCAGCUUUAAAUCCUUCUAGAUAUGCUUAACACAUUUUUGAUUGAAGAACAUGGCAAGUAUCUUAAAGAAACUUUACCCCAAAAAUCUUGUCUAAUUUAAAAAGCCAAAAAUAAAAUAACAACAAGUUAUCAAAAUGAUGGUUCUAACUUUGCUUCAGGUUGAGCAUCCUUAGUCUGAAAAUCUAAAAUCCAAAUGCUGCAAGACCCAACACUUUUUGAGCCAACAAUAUGAUGACACAAGUGGAAAAUGCCACACCACACCUCAUGUGACAGGUUGCAGUCAAAAUGCUGUCAACCUUUCCAUGCACAAAACUAUUUAAAAUAUUGUACAAAAUUACCUUCAGGCUAUGUGCAUAAGAUGUAUAUAAAACAAAAACGAAUCUCGUGUUUAGACUUGGGUCCCUUCCCUGAGAUAUCUCAUAUGUAUAUGCAAAUAUUCCAAAUUCUGAAUAAAAUGAAAUCCAAAACACUCUGGUCCCAAGCAUUUAAGAUAACAGAUACUCAA